AAAUCUCACUUCUUUCUCUGAUUCGUGCCUUAUUCUCACUGUUUUUCUCGAAUUGUUUGUUUUUCUUCAAUAUUGUUGUGUUUUGAUCCCAAAAUUUUUCGUAUUUUAAGGGAUCUUAUUUCUGGUAUCUGAUUUGUGGAGGGUUUUUGAUCCUUUUAAACGUGGGGUUGUGGAUGUUUUGUCCAGGGAGCAAAAUUUAUCUGGCACUUGAAAGCGAGGCAAUCAUGGUUAGAUUUCAUGUGGUUCAUGAAAGACUCGGUCAGGCUUUAGAAGACAGAUCUUUUAUCAAUUCAAACUAUUCUUGCUUUGCUGCACACGUUUGAUAUAAGUUCGUCUGGGUUUGACGAGAUUCAGAGUACUUCUUAUCAAAUUGGUCUCACGGACCACUACGAGGAAGACAUCCUCUAAACCCUCUACAUAGCAUUGAGGUAA